GAACAUAGUAUGCAGAAGGAAUGACAGAUAUAGGGAUGACAGCAAUUUGGAUUGGCUCCCAGCAUGGAGCGGUUUCCUGAUCCUAUUGGGAAAGUCUGUUUGUUAUCAGUGGGGAUUCCUUGAACCACGAAUCUCUAGAUGUAAGUGAUACCAUGGAUGGAAACGAUCAGAUGAGAAGCCCAGGUCUAAUCCAGUGGAGUGGAGCGCAGAUGCUAGAGUGGAGUCUCAUUCUUCUGGGAUUGGGGACAAGGUAUGCUACAGGUACAAAGGAGGGUCCCAGUUGGUGACCUAAAUUUCCAAAUGUUGGUAUCAGGAACUGCUUUUGCCUCCAGCAAUGAUGUCAUCUUGUCACCUGAGCAUCUGUUGUCAAGGCAACGGUCAUCCAUAUCCAGCAUACAUUUCAUGUUACAGUUACACCACAUUUCACAUAAGAGGCAGAUCCUUUCUGCCCUCUUCCACUUCUCUCUCCUCUCUUCCCUUUUUCUCCUCUCUUUCUCUCCUACCUCUCUUCACCCCUUGGCC
rnacentral:lncRNA from 1 species